rnacentral:rRNA from 1 species
UAGUCAUAUGCUUGUCUCAAAGAUUAAGCCAUGCAUGUCUAAGCACAAGCCGAUUAAUGGUGAAGCCGCGAAUGGCUCAUUACAACAGCCAUAGUUUCUUAGAUCUUACUUUUCUACUUGGAUAACUGUGGUAAUUCUAGAGCUAAUACACGCAAACAAGCUCAGACCUUACGGAAUGAGCGCAUUUAUUAGAACAAAAACCAAUCGGGCUUCGGCCCGUCAUUUGGUGAAUCUGAAUAACUUUGCUGAUCGCACGGUCAUCGUACCGGCGACGUAUCUUUCAAAUGUCUGCCUUAUCAACUUUCGGUGGUAGUUUAUGCGCCUACCAUGGUUGUAACGGGUAACGGAGAAUAAGGGUUCGACUCCGGAGAGGGAGCCUGAGAAACGGCUACCACAUCCAAGGAAGGCAGCAGGCACGCAAAUUACCCACUCCCGGCACGGGGAGGUAGUGACGAAAAAUAACGAGACGGCUCGCUAUGCGGUCCGUCAUCGGAAUGGGUACAAUUUAAAUCCUUUAACGAGGAUCUAUU